rnacentral:rRNA from 1 species
UACGGAGGGUGCGAGCGUUGUCCGGAAUCACUGGGCGUAAAGGGCGCGUAGGUGGCGCGAGGAGUCUGUGGUGAAAGCCCGAGGCUCAACUUCGGGUCGGCCGCGGAUACUCUCGUGCUGGAGGGUGGUAGAGGCCAAUGGAAUUCCGGGUGUAGCGGUGGAAUGCGCAGAUAUCAGGAGGAACACCGGUGGCGAAGGCGGGUCUCUGGGCCGUUACUGACGCUGAUGCACGAAAGUGUGGGGAUCAAACAGG